rnacentral:rRNA from 1 species
CGGAGAGGGCGAAGCCUGAUCCGCAAUGCCGCGUGCAGGAAGAAGGCCUUCGGGCCGUAAACUGCUUUUGUACGGAACGAAAAGGUCUGCCCUAAUACGGCGGGCCCAUGACGGUACCGUAAGAAUAAGCACCGGCUAACUACGUGCCAGCAGCCGCGGUAAUACGUAGGGUGCGAGCGUUAAUCGGAAUUACUGGGCGUAAAGCGUGCGCAGGCGGUUAUACAAGACAGGCGUGAAAUCCCCGGGCUUAACCUGGGAAUGGCGCCUGUGACUGUAUAGCUAGAGUGUGUCAGAGGGGGGUAGAAUUCCACGUGUAGCAGUGAAAUGCGUAGAUAUGUGGAGGAAUACCAAUGGCGAAGGCAGCCCCCUGGGAUAACACUGACGCUCAUGCACGAAA